rnacentral:rRNA from 1 species
UGGGGAAUCUUAGACAAUGGGGGCAACCCUGAUCUAGCCAUGCCGCGUGAGUGAUGAAGGCCCUAGGGUUGUAAAGCUCUUUCAGCUGGGAAGAUAAUGACGGUACCAGCAGAAGAAGCCCCGGCUAACUCCGUGCCAGCAGCCGCGGUAAUACGGAGGGGGCUAGCGUUGUUCGGAAUUACUGGGCGUAAAGCGCGCGUAGGCGGACUGGAAAGUUGGGGGUGAAAUCCCGGGGCUCAACCUCGGAACUGCCUUCAAAACUAUCAGUCUGGAGUUCGAGAGAGGUGAGUGGAAUUCCGAGUGUAGAGGUGAAAUUCGUAGAUAUUCGGAGGAACACCAGUGGCGAAGGCGGCUCACUGGCUCGAUACUGACGCUGAGGUGCGAAAGCGUGGGGAGCAAACAGG